CGAGGGAGGGAGGAGAGCGCCCUGGGCCAGGCUGGGAAAACGUCACUGAAGCGCACGGAGGGAUGAGCCGAGCAGGGCGGCACUCAGAGUACAAUCCCCGGACCAGCAGGCUUCCCAUCACCUGCAGCAUCUCAGUUCCAGCCUCGGGCCUGAAUCACGUCCUGCGCUAAUCAAGAACGUGCAUGAGACCCAGGUCCCCGGGUGGUUGUCCACACGUGAACGUUUCAGAAGGGCUGCCGUAGAGUCAAACAGAUGCCAGAUUCAUCUCAGCCUCCUAAUUUACUGGGUAGCAUGAAGCCUUGGGCCAGUGGGUACAACACGCCCCCGCCCCCCAUCACGCCAGCAGGAGUUUCAGGUUUCCAGGGAGUCUCAACAGAAGAAGACACUCCUGGGAUCCAGCAGCAGAUGUCUGUGGAGCCAUCCCUGAAGGCUUGGCCAGACAAGACCUUAGCUGGGAAUGGACAGCAUUUGAAAUUCAUCCUGAACUUUCAGAGUUACAUUGCAAAACACCUUCAUAAUUCACCCGGAUUAUCCCCGGGUGCUAUAACACUCACCUGGCAGGCCACGGGCCUGAUGCAAGAUGGCAUUUCUAUGCUCAGAUGAUCAGGAAAGGGCGCUAAGAGAAGCAAAAAAUCAGGGGCCUGCUGGAGGGACGAGGAAAUUGAGGGCAAAAGCAUGGUGAA